GACGAACUGUCCUAACGUUGUUCGGAAUCACUGGGCUUAAAGGGCGCGUAGGCGGUCCAACAAGUCAGGGGUGAAAUCCUGCAGCUCAACUGUAGCAGUGCCUUUGAUACUGUUGGUCUCGAGGGAGAUAGGGGUGUGCGGAACUUCCAGUGGAGCGGUGAAAUGCGUUGAUAUUGGAAGGAACGCCGGUGGCGAAAGCGGCGCACUGGAUCUCUUCUGACGCUGAGGCGCGAAAGCUAGGGGAGCAAACGGG
rnacentral:rRNA from 1 species